rnacentral:tRNA from 1 species
AAGAUUUUAAGUUAAAAAAACUAUUAAUUUUCAAAAUUAAAAAUAAAAAUAAUUUAAAUCUUA